GAUGAACGCUGGCGGCGUGCCUAACACAUGCAAGUCGAACGAAGAGGCUCCUUCGGGAGUACUUCAGUGGCGGACGGGUGAGUAACACGUAGGUGACCUGCCCCGAAGCAGGGGAUAACGGCUCGAAAGGGCCGCUAAUACCCAAAAGGAUCGCGAGUCGCAUCGCGAUCAGAGUUACGGCGUUUCGGGAGGGGCCUGCGGCCCAUCAGCUUGUUGGUAGGGUAAUGGCCUACCAAGGCGACGACGGGUAGGGGGCCUGAGAGGGUGAUCCCCCACAUUGGCACUGACACACGGGCCAAACUCCUACGGGAGGCAG
rnacentral:rRNA from 1 species